UAGGGAAUCUUGCACAAUGGGCGCAAGCCUGAUGCAGCGAUGCCGCGUGAGGGAUGAAGGCCUUCGGGUCGUAAACCUCUUUCAGUAGGGAAGAAGCCACCUCUCAAGGUGGUGACGGUACCUGCAGAAGAAGCCCCGGCUAACUACGUGCCAGCAGCCGCGGUAAAACGUAGGGGGCGAGCGUUGCCCGGAUUCACUGGGCGUAAAGCGGGUGUAGGCGGUUCCUUAAGUCGGUUGUGAAAUCCCACGGCCCAACCGUGGAAUUGCAGCCGAUACUGGAGAACUUGAGGACGGUAGAGGUCGGUGGAAUUCCCGGUGUACCGGUGAAAUGGGCAGAUAUCGGGAGGAACACCAGUGGCGAAGGCGGCCGACUGGGCCGAUCCUGACGCUGAGACCCGAAAGCCAGGGUAGCGAACCG
rnacentral:rRNA from 1 species